ACGGUACGUCACGCAGCACUUCCGGUCCGCCGGGAGCCGGGCCGAGAUACCGGAAGUGCUGCGGGGAUGUCGGGAGUUGCGCCCGGGCGGGAGGGAGUGCGAGAACCUUGACACAGGGAAACAUUGGUCUGGAAUCACUGUCAGAGUCAACUGUGCUUUCAAGCCUGCCAGCAGAAGCUAAUGCCACUAAGUAGUGAAACUUUCACAGAGAAGAGAUAAUUUGGACCACAAACUUACCAUGUAAGGAGAAGGCGCAUUAUCAUCUGAAACGCUGUAGAAUGAGACUUCAACUGGCAGAGUCAUGUGAGUGGGACAGAAGAUUCCACUUGCUCCCACUUCUGCUGUGAAGCCCUCGACGAUGCCUAGUGGGUCCAAGCGAAAGUUCAAGACAGACUCCUGGAAAACAGAACACAUAGAGCUUCAAUUGAGACUGCCUCAAAACAGAGCAGAAAAUAAACAGCAGUAAAACAGUUUCUAUAAGAACCUGGGUGCUCAGUGUUUCAUGGGGUGACAGACCAGAAAUCACAACCGAGGCAGGAAUUACAAUAAAAAGAGAAACACUGAGCAAGAUGGCAGUAGUCUAAAAGAAAGCAUCAUGCAAAUCUUAUCUUAAUCCAUCUCAAACCUGCACAAAAGCCCUCAGAGAGCAGUGGGAUCUAUUCAUGACCACCAUUGGCAUACGCUGUCUGAAAGAACAGACCAUAACCUGCAGCUUUUCUCAACAUACUCAACUCCAUGUUUCACAAGGUAUAAUGCAACCCAUAAAUGCUACAAUUAGUCACUGACAUUUAAUGUGCUGCAUGAAACCAAAAACUGGAGGCUACACUUCCAAUAUGUUGUUUACUAUACUGAUUUCACGUGGCUUUUGUGAAACACUGAGUAAGCUUUAAGAGCAGAAAUAAGAUAUAUUUUUUUCCUAGGUUUAUAUAUGACAAAAACGACCAAUACCAGUUUGAAUCUCAUUUAAGCCAGCAGAACACCUCCUAAUUCAACUAUAGGUUAAAGUAGAAGUUAAAAUCUCUGAUUUUGUAUGUGAGAGAGAGAAGACUUCUUGGGAGUGAAAUUCAUGCCUUUAGAGAUGGAAAUUAAAACAAAUUUCAUUCAACUUAAUUAUGAAUCUUUACACUGUAAUCAGGCUGGAAUUAUCCGCACUAAUGCACUCUAAAAAGCAGUACAGAAGAAUAAUAAAAAUACCACAAGACUUCCAGACAAUGAGCAAUACCUCAAAGUUUCCCAGAAGGCUAAGACUUGUUACUGGUGGAGCACUAGAACUUAGAAAUGGUUUCCCAUGGCUCUCUGGAUCACUCUCUCUGUUUAUACAUCGUUGUGGGCUAUUAAAUAAAAGAGAAUAAAUAUAAAGGAUGAACACAUUUCCUUUUGUCUUCUGGGUAUAACCAGGUCUAAAAAGAAUCAUUUACUUACUGCAUUUCAAAAUACUGUGCUAAAGAAAUACCAGCUGAACACUGUCAGAUAAUACUCUUGCAAAACAUUUUCUAGGUAACUGAAGAAUACCUUCACUGAGAGAUACAGACAAUACUAAUUCACGUUGUUCACUGGCUCUGAAUAAAGUAGCAGAAUUUUCUCCUGCACAUAGCCAUUUAUCCUGAAGUUUCCAUCACACCACCAUACUGAAAGCUGUUUAUGUUAUGCACAUUAUCGUGUAAAAAGUCGUGACAAGUCCCUUUCAAAGGUUACGCUCCCUGAGCAGAUGGAAAAGCAAAAUAUUUAACCCAUUCAGCUUGAAGAACAACACGUCUCAUUUGGAAAAGAAAAAAAAA